rnacentral:ribozyme from 1 species
UAUCAAGUAACUCCUAUCCCUACCUCCCCGUGGUGCCGCCUGGGGUACGAGUAACCGUAGGGAAGAUUGGGUAACGAACCCUGUGGUCGUAUGCUGACAGGGAAGG